rnacentral:rRNA from 1 species
UGAGCAACCUGCCCUUGACCCCGGAAUAACAGCUGGAAACAGCUGCUAAUACCGGAUACGACCUCCGACGGCAUCAUCUGGAGGUGGAAAGCUCCGACGGUCAAGGAUGGGCUCGCGGCCUAUCAGCUUGUUGGUGAGGUAAUGGCUUACCAAGGCGACGACGGGUAGCCGGCCUGAGAGGGUGACCGGCCACACUGGGUCUGAGACACGGCCCAGACCUCCGUACGGGAGGNAG